rnacentral:rRNA from 1 species
AUUGAACGCUGGCGGCAGGCCUAACACAUGCAAGUCGAACGAGUGGCGGACGGGUGAGUAAUGUCUGGGAAACUGCCCGAUGGAGGGGGAUAACUACUGGAAACGGUAGCUAAUACCGCAUACCAUCGGAUGUGCCCAGAUGGGAUGAGCUUGUAGGUGCGGUAACGGCUCACCUAGGCGACGAUCGCUAGCUGGUCUGAGAGGAUGACCAGCCACGAUGGAACUGGGACACGGGGCAGACGCCUGCGGGCGGCAGCAGUGGGGAAUAUUGCAAAAUGGGCGCGAGCCUGAUGCAGCCAUGACGCGGGUAGGAAGAAGGCCUUCGGGUUGGAAAGUACUUGCAGCGAGGAGGCGUUACCCGCAGUAGAAGCACCGCCUAAUUCCGUGCCAGCAGCCGCUGUAAUAC